rnacentral:lncRNA from 1 species
AAUGAGAACUCGAGAGGGGUAAGUUGAAUACAAUAGAAGAAUUCGACCGAACACUACUUUAGGUUUUAUGAAUCUUGAUUUAUGAAGUAAAGGUGACCAAUAGGUGAAAUUGUUCCGCCCUAACGUCCAUUUAUUGUUUGAAUUCUCAAUCACUUUUCGUUGCAUCCAAUCGCAUUUUUAAGUAUUUAGAAUAAAAAUC